rnacentral:sRNA from 1 species
GGCUGGCACCCUAGUCGCUGAGCUGCAGGCACAGAACCACAGAAUGUUCUUUUUUUUUUUUUCUCCACUUCCACUGCUUUACUUGACUAGCCUUAA